CCCCAUCAGAACUCCGCAGUUAAGCGUGCUUGGGCGAGAGUAGUAUUAGGAUGGGUGACCCCCUGGGAAGUCCUCGUGUUGCACCC
rnacentral:rRNA from 1 species